UACGUAGGGGGCUAGCGUUGUCCGGAAUCAUUGGGCGUAAAGAGCGUGUGAGCGGCCCGGUAAGUCCGCUGUAAAAGUCAAAGGCUCAACCUUUGAAUGUCAGUGGAUACUGCCGGGCUAGAGUCCGGAAGAGGCGAGUGGAACUCCUGGUGGUAGCGGUGGAAUGCGCAGAUAUCAGGAAGAACACCAACGGCGAAGGCAGCUCGCUGGGACGGUACUGACGCUGAGACGCGAAAGCGUGGGGAGCGAACAGG
rnacentral:rRNA from 1 species